rnacentral:lncRNA from 1 species
GCUUCAACGAUGUAAUGAAUACAAAUACGACAUAGUUAUGCAAUCCACUAACAUAUACUAUGUCUAAUCAGGGUAUGAAUGCAAAUCCACUUAUGCUAUUCAUGUCAUUACCCAAUCCACUAGGCUACCCCGCCCUUGUCUCAAAUCACGUAGGUGAAGGACUACCCCGCCCUUGUUUCACCCGUCCCACAACUCUAACACUAUAGGUAAAGAGCUACCCCGCUCCACGCCCAACUCAUGACUCAAAUGCCUAAGGGCAUGAGCUACCCCGCUCUUCGCUCCGACUCUAACUCAAACUCAUAGGUCAAGAGCUACCCCGCUCAUAGGUCAAGAGCUACCCCGCUCAUAGGUAAAGAGCUACCCCGCUCAAAGGUCAAGAGCUACCCCGCUCGUAGGUAAAGAGCUACCCCGCUCAAAGGUCAAGAGCUACCCCGCUCGUAGGUAAAGAGCUACCCCGCUCAUAGGUAAAGAGCUACCCCGCUCGUAGGUAAAGAGCUACCCUGCUCAUAGGUAAAGAGCUACCCCGCUCAAAUCUCACAGGAGAAGAGCUACCCCGCCCUUCGCCCGACUCACUUCCCAAUCCAAUGGGUGGGGAGCUACCCCGCUCGUAUCCCACCCAAUGAGCUACCCCGCUCGUGUGACAACUGAGGAUACCCUGUCAACUAGGUUAACCAUCACUUGAUAUUCCACCUAUCCCUAGGUCCAUGUCAAGUGUUUCAACCAUAUCAAAUCUCAAUGCCACUCACCUAGGUCUAAGCAACUCUAGGUUCCACAACACUAGGUUUAGAUGCCACAUAAUCUCCAUAAUUAACAAUAGGUUAACCUUCAUUUCAUCUAGCAUAUAUGUUCUAUAAGGCCAACAUGCAUCAUAAUGCUAAUAUGCCAUAAUCAACUAGCAUGCAAUCCAUUCAUAAUGCUACGUGCAUACAAUCUCCAUUACAC